AACCUGGUUGAUCCUGCCAGUAGUCAUUAGCUUCGUUCAAGGGCUAAGCCAUGCAUGUCUCAGCGCACAUGGUGCAACAGUUGGUCUGUGAAUGGCUCCUUACAUCAGCAGUCAUCCAAGUGAUGGAGUGUGGAAGCCCCAAGCCCAGGGGGCCAUUUGGACAUCCUCCAAAACCUAGUGGCUAAUACACGGAAGAGACAGUCUGCCACAAUCAAGUCAGUCCUGGAUCCUUUCAGGCUGGCUGUGGUGGAUUGCUCCCAGCUGACAUCAAGACCUGCGUCCGCAAGGACAGCAUGGUGAGUGUUGACUCAGGCUGGUCCCAAGUGGACAGAGCAUUGGCCCAUCAAUAGUGGCAUGACCACUGUGGCGUGAUCACUGGAACUUCUGACCUAUCAGCUCUGACUGUGGUGUAGUGGACCACAGUGGCAGUGACGGGUGACGGAGAAUUUGGGUUCGACUCCGGAGAGGCAGCCUGAGAGACGGCUACCACUACCAAGGUGGGCAGCAGGCGCGCAAAUUGCCCACUACCAAAGCCCAAGGUGAGGCAGCGACGAACUGCAACAACUCUGCCGGUAUCACUAUUGGCUGAGCUUGUAAUGGAUGCUAUCCAAACACAGUGAUGAGUAGCCACUGGAGGSCAAGUCUGGUGCCAGCAGCUGCGGUAAUUCCAGCUCCAAGGGCGUAUACUAACUCUGCUGCGGUUAAAACACUUGUAGUCUGCCGCCGGGUCCAGGUCUGCCAGGUGGCCAGUGUGGGCUGAGUUGGGGUUCAGGGCUCCGGUCCUGGCUCUGGCUUGGUCUGCCUGGGUACAACCCCUGGCAGUAUGUCCCUGGACCCAAAGCCAAAGGUGUUGAAUGCUCCUGCCCAAAGUCACCUUCACUGGUGGCCUGAAGCGGUUGUGCACCGCAUGCUUGCGUGGACACAGAGUGCCAGUGGCCCAGUGCCUUGGAAGAAGCCUGUCCGCCMACGGAGCCCAGCAUCAAAGACACCCUGGAAAACUCAGUGUGCUCAAAGCGUUCAGUCUUGACUGGAUGCCUGUCCAUGGAAUGUCAAAGCAUCGACCAGACCUGGCUAUGGAGUUGUGCAGGCCUUGGAGCCGGCCUUGGAGAGUGUGGUGCCACACCCUUGCCUGGGACAGACCAGCCUCCUGGCUUGGACCCUGGACCAGCUUGGUGUUGUGGUUACCUACCGCUGAUGAUGGGACUGCUCAGGGUGGAAGGUAUUGGAGCGCCAGAGGUGAAAUUCUUARACCGCUGCAAGACCAACUGCAGCGAAGGCGUUCUGCAAGGGCAUGUUCGUCGAUCAAGAAUGAGAGCGUGGGGAGCGAAGAUGAUCAGACACCAUCGUAGUCCACUGCUGUAAACCAUGCCAGCUCGGCUUUCGUGAGGCACAAUACUGUUGACCUCCUGAGUGCCAAACCCCCUGCAACGAGAAAUCCAAGCCUAUGGGUUCCGGGGGGAGUACGGUCGCAAGGCUGAAACUUAAAGGAAUUGACGGAAUGGCACCACAAGGCGUGGAGUAUGCGGCUUAAUUUGACUCAACACGGGGAACGUUACCAGGUCAGGACAUUGCCAGGAUGGACAGAUUGCUAGCUCUUGCUUGAUCCAAUGGAUGGUGGUGCAUGGCCGCUCCUGAUUGGUGGAGUGAUUUGUCUGGUUGAUUCCKMWWACGAGUGAGAUCUCUGCCUUCCACUAGCGCCUGUCUCGCAUCUGGUAGGAUGGACCCUUGGUGUGUCUGGAUUGGUGGUUCUACCGCCGGUCCAAGGCUGCCUUGUGGACCUCCGAGAGGUCAGGCUGCUUCUCUGAGGUGCUGUGUACACUGCCAAGUGCACGCAUGCUAGAGCCAACAGCAGGUCUGUGAUGCUCCUAGAUGUCCUGGGCCGCACGCGCACUACAUUGACACAGUGAAGGAGUGAUGCUCCUCUUGGAGCCCUGUCCAGACGUGGAUGGGAAACCCUGCAAGCCUGUGCUGUACUGGGGAUAGAUGAUUGCAACUGUCUGCCUUGAACGAGGAAUGCCUAGUAUGCGUGAGUCAUCAGCUCACACAGAUUGUGUCCCUGCCAUUUGUACACACCGCCCGUCGUUGCUACCGACGGUGGCUGGAUAGAGUCAUCAGGAGGCCAAGGGGCACUCGUGCCUCAUGCUGAAAUUGGGCAAUGUCCAGCUGCUGAAGGAAGCAAAAGUCGUAACAAGGUUGUUGUAGGUGAACCUGCCAGAAAGGAUCAAAA
rnacentral:rRNA from 1 species